AGAGUUUGAUCAUGGCUCGGGAUGAACGCUAGCGACAGGCUUAACACAUGCAAGUCGAGGGGCAGCAUGAUUUGUAGCAAUACAGAUUGAUGGCGACCGGCGCACGGGUGAGUAACGCGUAUGCAACUUACCUAUCAGGAGGGGGAUAGCCCGGCGAAAGUCGGAUUAAUACCCCAUAAAACAGGGGUCCCGCAUGGGAAUAUUUGUUAAAGAUUCAUCGCUGAUAGAUAGGCAUGCGUUCCAUUAGGCAGUUGGCGGGGUAACGGCCCACCAAACCGACGAUGGAUAGGGGUCCUGAGAGGAAGGUCCCCCACAUUGGUACUGAGACACGGACCAAACUCCUACGGGAGGCAGCA
rnacentral:rRNA from 1 species